CUGGAGUUAAUGAUUGGUGAUAAAGACCUUCUGUCUUUGUAAAUACACACAUUGCAUUUCAUUCCAUAGUUAUAGGGAUUUCAGGUGGCUCUCCACUUCCCUGUAACUGCUAAGGAACUGACUCCUGUGCCUUACUUUUAAGAAGAAAAUGUACAACUGCAAAGCACUGUGGUUGUCAAUGAGGCUGAACACAGAGACCCGGUGCAACAACUCUGCCUGCCUGAUUUCUAUGGAGCAACUCAAGAGUUUUCAAAACUCUAGAAUUCUGACCACCUAAGUUCCAUAAGAAAAUGAUGAGCUCUGAGCCAGCAUAAUUGGACCCCUCCCAGUAUGAGGACACCAGCAGUUUGUGAGCUGGGCAUGCGACACCAUCAAGAGUCUGCACAAGUAACUGCAGUUUACAAACAGGAGUAAAGAGUGGGACUCUCAGCAUAUGUUUUGGAUUGUAUUUAGUAUUGUCAUUUACCAGGGCCAACCCAAUUCAUAAGAAUUCAUAGUAAAAGAACACAGUCCAGAUGCAAGAAAUACAGAAGAACAUCAAGACAAUAUGCUGUGAACAGCACUGUUUUGAUACUUAAAUAUCAGAGGUUUUAGGAGUUAUUCAUUGAAAAGAAUGAUCAGAGUAGAUUAGAGAAGUGAAAGGUAUUCUGCAACCCAUAACAGCAGUUGCUGCAGCCUUUCAUUAAGUCAUUUUCUAUUUUCCUUGAGUAGGAGCUAUGGAGUAUUUUGUAAAGUCGUACCUUUUAAAGUCCAGAAAAUAAUCAGUGAAGCAGGAUGCUUCUUCUCCUGGAAGAGAAAUUAAACUCACUCCAUGCUCUAAAAACUCAUCAACUCAUGGCUGAGCAACACAUUGUAGGGUUGAAUAUAAUGAGGUUGCUGUAUAAUGUCACAAUACAAAAAACUGGAACGGUGAAAAGAAAAUAAUAAUCCUUCUGCAUUCUGAUAUAACACAGCUCCCUUUCCCCCUACAAAAAAAGGUUCAGAAGAAAACUAGGAAACAGAUUCAGGCAUAGAAAUCUCUUAUAGUUCAUGUUAAUUAGCCAGUUUUCUGUCAAAAUAUAUGCAGAGAAACACGCAACUGAGAUUCUUCAGAGAUGAUCAGAAAUGAAUUGUAUAUGCUGUUGUAAGCCAGUCUUUUUCACUGUAAAUUAGCACAGCUCUAUAGAGAGCAAAAUCAUACUUGAUUGCUCAGAAGUGACCACUAAUUAACAUUUCACUUGCAGUUUCAUUAGUUGCCUGCAACUCUUUGGCCUUAAAAACUCUACUGAAAGAGGAAUUAAACCUCACCUCGAAACGGUUACCAUCAGACUUGGAGGCUGAGUCUGAUUAUUUAUUCAUAAUCCUAAAUUUUGUGCAGUCCUGAUUAUCGCCAAGGCUCAGGAUGAUGUUCUCUCAGCUUUAUGUAUCUGAUACACUUGGAGACUGACCACAAGAAUAACCAUAAAAGCAGGCAAUAAAAAUAACUUGGUAAACUGGUAGACUGCAAUAAAAAUAGAGAAGCAAGAGCAAAUAAGGGAACUUAACGGAUGACCCCACAAGCAAGAGCCAUUUUCCUUUUCAGAAAUCACUUUCAACUCUGCAAUUUAUGCUUGGCAACAUUUUCAUUAUCUGAAAACUGGAGUUGCAUACUAGUUUAUAUCCCGUGUUUUUAGGGAUAAAGGAAAAAAAAGAACAACUAAUAUAUACUUAAGCUGAACUGAAGAGGGAAGCUGGUUAUCCCAAUCCUUUACUUCUGCUGUGUUUUCCCAGAACCUUGACAUAGACACUGCCUUCUUACACUGUGGCUUUCUGGUACAGCUAGAGCAUAGGUUGUUGCUGAUCUAUAUACCACUUUAUAUCAGUUAAGAAGAUACAGCUUGUUCUGUGUUCUAAUAGGCAUCAGGCUGUGGACUGUGAAAGGCAAGAGUUCUCAUAAUGAAGCAGUACUAGUGACACAAAUCUUCUAAUCAGGCAUUUAGUAAUUUUGCUUUGCAGCUUGGAAAAUGUCUUUCAUUUAAAUUCACCUCAUAGGAGCUGUGUGUCAGGCAAUUAUUCUCUACCCGAAGAUUUCAAAGCCCAAGCAAAUUAAAUGGACUCUGUUCUUAAAGUAAUACUGCCCUCAAAGCAUUAUUACUGUUGUUAAGAAAUAAGAAACCUAAAGUCAAAAAAGGCAUCUGUUCUCUUGUACAAAUACAGGUACAAUUCCUACACAGGCUUUGGCAAUCAGAUGUGCAUAUUUACAGAUCUAAUGUAGAGUUUCUUUUGAUGAAUAUAACAACCGAACACUUACAAUUCUAUAAGAAUACACUGAAAAAGAGAACUGAGUUUCGUCUUCAGAACACUGAGGCUUCAGAAUUUGAUUCAAAAUAUGAUGGCCUACAGUGAUACUGGUUCUCAACCUGCCCAUAUGUUAGCUAUGUAGAAUUGAGUUUUUCCAGGAGUAGACUCUUAUGGAAGAAAAUAGUCUUUCAAGACAUGCUGUCAUUGAGCAUUUGUCUUCCUUUGAGUCACUACUGGAUACAUGUUUUUGUGAAGUACAGUAAAACUCCACAUUGCUGAAUUUCAGUCUCUGAUUCCCUCCUAACUGAAGCAAAAAGUAAAUGGUUGAUUUCCAUAUAGAUGUUCAAAAAACUUACUGCUAUUUACAAUCAGCUGCCCAAAUUUCAGGCCAUCUGGAAGUCUACAGAGGGACAUGAAAUACAAAUAAAUAGAAUUUUGGGGAAUUAUAGGCUGGCAUUCUAAAUUUGCUAAGAAGAACCACAGACAAACUAACAGCACAGCCCUAGAAAUAAGCAGAUGCAGUAUGACUCAAAGAGGUGAAGAAAAGUUUUUGACAAGAGAAGUAUACAUUCAAAGUGUUGUAAGAGAGAUGAGGCACAGAAAUCCUUUAAAACAGAAGAGAGUCUAUAGAAAGAUCUUUUUAAAUCCUUGAAUUAGAAAUUGUUCUCCAAAGUACCUUCACUAGCAAUAUAGUUCCACUUAAAGAGCAUGAUGAAAACAAUGUCCAAUUUGACUUGAGAGACCAUCGAAUUUCUGGACCAGUUACUGGUAAAACAGAUCUAAGGCAAAUGAAAGCCAGCAAAAGAAAUCCACAUUCUAAUCAUGUAAAAAGUUACUAAAACACUACUUAAAAAUGACAACAUUUCCUCUCAUCCCAUAAAGAACUGCUGCCAUGAUCAGACAGGCUUUCAACACUGUAACACUGUGUUACUGUCAUCCUUUCUUGGUUAUGUUCACAAAAGCAAUAUGCUUGCAGCAGUUCCUGCCGAGAACAUCCAAGUUGUUGGUUGUCAUACACUUCAGUAAAUCUCUCCUCCAUUUAUUUAUGUUAUUUCAACGCCCAUCCUGUGUAUCUAUUCAAUAAUGGAACACACAGAUUGCAAGUUGCUGCAGUCACUGUGGCUAUGAAAACCUAGGAUCCUAGGAUUGGUUAGACUAACUAACAUUUUUGGCUCAGUAUAUUUCUUCAUUGAUUUUUUGUCUGGAGAGCAAGAUUUUACUUUUUUUUUUUUUUUAUAAUUUUAUAAAUUGUUUACAUUCUCAGCAAAAAUUGUACAACACUUGACAUAGUCAGUUUACCAGUAAUGUCAACUAGUCAUAACCUUUAGAUUACUUUUUUCACGUUUAACCAGUUGGCUAGUUUCAGCACCAUUUAUACUGUGUCAUUAAACUGAAAAAAGAUAAGGCAGUGGACAAACACAAAGGUAGUUAAAUACUACUUUCAUAGGACCCAAAGUAAUAUUUGCAAAAGCACCUCAGUGAUCUAAGAUCUAGAAUACAUAAUCUGUGAGGAAAGGUUGCAAGAAGGAUUAAGUCUAGAGAAAAAGGAUAUUAAAGGAUGGCAAUACAGCAACUGUCUUCAAAAACGCAAGUAAACAUUUCAUGAAGAAAAAAGGAUACAACUAUUCUCCAUAUGUUUGCAGAAUAGGAAAAUAAAUGACGGGCUUAGGUUGCAACAAAACAAACAACUGAAACUAAGAAAAAUACCAGUCCCACAAAAAGAGCUAGUGAGUACUGCAAUGAACAAGGCCAGGUAAUGCAGCCUCUAGAACUGCAAAUUUAAGAACAGGGAAGGCACAAGAAGACCACUUCAGACUCCUUCCACACCUAUUUUCUGAUGUUGCCGUUUCCCACUACAGUCAGUGGUAAUGAAGUUACAAGCUUCAAAUUUCCAAAGAUUUGUUGGCAUAUGCAGGACAUAACGAUAAGAAGGUCAACUGGCACUUCAGAAGAUUAUUCUUUGUACUUAUUGGUACGUAUCUUUUGGCACUUAAAAGCAUUCAGAACUAUCUAGAUCACUUUUAAAAGCAGAUUCCUGAGUAGUAGUAGGCUUAGUAGUAAUUAAAUUUUAUUUCAAGCAACUAUUCCUAGUGUACACAAAAAAGCAUCUAAUGAUGGUGGAGUUACUGUCCUAACUGUAGGAGAGGUCAAACCACUGUCAGAGACUGGGCACUGGAUCAUCUAGACUUUGGGUAGGUUUUACGCUCCGAUUUAAUCUUACAGUAGUUUUGCCUUAUGGGGAUACUCACAUGUCCUCACAAUAUUCUGUGAAGUUCAUCUAUUACAAGUCAGUAAGUUAUCAAGUACUCAAUCACUGCUUCCAAUUAAAUCUCUACUUAAAAGCAACACUUUCCUCUUAUUUUUCAUUCUUCUUGCUCUUUCUUUCAUUUCUUUUACUACAAACAAAAAAUAAAGCAUUCAUUGUUAUUGAAUGAAACUCUUGUAUGCACAGUGACAUUGCAGCAGUACCUGUAAAUGAUUUAAAGAUACUUAAUAUAUUUUACUGCGUGCAAUGCCAUGGAGCCUUGACAUUCAUAUAUUAGUGUAAUGCGAAUAAACAGAAAUAUAUAACUAUGAUUAAAAUUGAAACACCAAACAAUGCAUUAUACAAAUAUAAAACGAAAACAUGGUUUAGGUAGGAAACAAGGACACGGAAAAAUCCAUCAAGAGUCAAAGAUAGGUGUACUUGAAGUCAUAAAAUUACCCUGUGUCAAAACUAAUUGAGAGAAGUACCUCAUCACUAAUGCAAUUGUGCUUUAAUAAUCGAGGUGGCAUCUACAUAAGCCUGUAAGAAAAACAACUUUAAAAGACAAAUGAAAACUUUUGAAGAGAUCAGGCUUAUUGUCUUGGCUAUUUGUGUUGUGCAUGAAGCUGAAAUAAUUGGACACAUCGUUUCAAAACAUUCACUUUCUGCUUGAGUGGAUAGGAAGACCUCCUGCAGUUCUGGGUAACCCACAGUCUGUUCUGGGGACCUUCAAAAUUCACCAGGUGGUCCCCUGAGAAACAUCCCACAUCAUAUGAUCUCAUAGCUCUUUUCUGCUCCAAAUUCAUACAGUCUGUCAAGGCUGUCAACGUGAAAGCCAUUUAGAUGUCUGGUUUUGCAUUUUCUACUCCAAAAUGUUCCAGACAUGAAUCCACUAUCUCCGAACAGAGGACUGGUCUGAGAAUUCUUCAGGACUUCAUUUUGAUUUUUACUAUGGAUUUAUCAAGAAGAAAAGGACUGCAAUGAAAUAGAAUAAAUUAUUUUAUUUCCCUGCCCCUGCCUAGUCUGAAUGACAGUCCUUUUGAGGUCAGUAUUGUUUAAGCCUGUAAAAUGAAAGUUCUACGAAUCACAAUCAAAUAACCAUCAGGCACCUUAUUAAAUUUCAUUCCACUCCAUAGAAAAUCUUAGGAGUCCAUUGCUAUCUUCCAAUUUAGACAAAGAUUAAAUGAAAGCUGAUCAAAGAGUUAUAGAAUUCUAAAGUUAUACUAAACACUAUGUGCUAUGCCUGGAAAGCUUUCUCUGGUGCAAUGAAGUUAGAAGUGUCUCGCCAUAAUGGUUUUAUAUAAGCACCACUUUUCACUGGAGGGAAAAAAAAAUUGCAGUCUACAAUCAGCUCAACUGAUUAUAAUUUCAUAUUUCACUGUCUAAAUCAAGUUUUCACUGACACUAGAAUUCAUACGUCCAGACAGAAGAAAGAAUAGUAACGAUGUCAACAAAAGAAGCAGCAGUGUUUUUUUUGUUUUUUUUUUUUUUAAACAGAAAAAAAUGCCAAAAUUUCACUUUUAGUUUUCAGUCUAUCUGCUGUCAAAGAACUGCAGGUAAACUAAGAAUGCCUCCUAUGCACAGUUAUGUGUUGCUAGUUAUAACUAGCAUAUAACAUAUAACAUAUAUAUAUAGUUAUAACAUGCUAGUUAUAGUACUUAACUGUUUUCACCACUAUAACAUACUCAGCUUCUAUUCAUCUAUAGUGAUAAACUACAUGCAGAUGCUGCUGUACUCUAUUACAAAUAUUAAUAGGAUAAAAGUGAAAGAAAGCAACGGGAACAGAAAGGAUCAUGAAUAUGAAUAAGUUGCUUCAUUUUUUUUUUUUUUCUUGCUGCAGAAAGAAAGGAACUCCUAGGGAGAGUAAUGGGCAGAAGAGACUGUCUUGUACAUCUGAAGAGAGAGCUCUUAAAAUUCUGUUCUCAAGACAGGCAGGUUCAUUACAAACUGUGCUUUUAAAGGGUUCCAGUAUUCAUCUAUAAUAGAAAUCAGACAUCUCAUAGAAUGACUUUACCCUACAGCUUAGAGGAAAUUUAAGACUCCAAAUAUAAACUCAGAAUUCCUCUGCAGCAGAACCUCCUGAGAGUCAAUGUACAACUAUAGCAGACAGUCUGAUUUCUGAAAAGGUUUUAAUAAUAUGUAACCAAGAGAACAUUUUCACUCUUUCGUAUAUGCGGUCUACUUUCUUCUGCCAGUGCUCUUUGCAACCUUGUUUGAAUACCUGCAGAAUUCUUUAUUAUUGAGGUGAUGCUCACUGCUUCUCUGCUGGUGACUAACUGUGCCCUUGAAAUCUGGAUAUGUGCUUAUUGAAAAACUAAAUACAGGACAAAGACACAAAACUCACAUCCUUCCAUACCUUCAAGACACUGGUGAAGCUUCACUGACCUCAGAUUGUGAAAGCAAAGGCAAAACUUGUGGCACAAAUGCCAAACAACAGUACUUGCAAAUCUUACAAGUUGCGGUAUUUUAAAAUUACUUUCAGAGCUACAAAAGAAUAUGAAGAAAGAUAAGUCUCCCACUGAUCUGCCAAAGAUUUUCUUUCCACCCACCCUCCCCUUAACACACGAUCUUCUUUCCAACAUAAAGUAUGUAAAUUGUAAGUAAUUCUGAAACAUGGUAAUUUCCAACUGUCAGAGCCACAGAAAUCUCUCCACGAGCCUCUUCAGUGGGGUUUGUGUCUGAGGGAGUAGCUCCAUCUGAAUUCAGUACAACAUGGUGGCUUAGUAUUCCUCUUUUGGAACAUCUCCAAGUAACCAGUUAGAGACAAAUAGAAUUGAGGCAAAAAUUGGAAAAUACCAUCUUCCAACUCCUCAUUUUACGAGGAUGAAGUUCUUUUAUCAUUUGUUAUCUAUUUUAUCAUCUAUUAUCUAUCUUUAUCAUUUGUUAUCUAUUUUAUCAUCUAUUACCUAUCUAUUAACACAGGCAGUGUUUUAUCUCAUCAUCCUCUUUUGUCUGUGUGAAAAAAAUUAAAAAAGAACCUAUAUUUCCCCUUUGACUUUUCCUUGGCCUUGGGUAAAAUGAGGACUGUUACAACGCAACACCAGGAGACAAGGGUACAGAAAUUCCCAUUUAUAUUACAGUAAAGAAAAGCUUAUCCUUAAAACAGCACUCAGUAGCUGAAGAAAUAAUACACAGAGAAAAAUCCAGCUUCUCUUAUUCAGCUGGCUUCUUUCCUAAGAAAGAUGACCCUCCUAUAUCUAAGUUUCACCUAUCGUGUUCCUUGCAUAUUCUUUUAUAACAUACCUAACAGUAUAUGGAUGGAGUAAGUCAGUAGAGGGAGGACCAGGGAUACAAAAGUAAAGGUAGAUGAAUUCUACUUUGGCCUAAUUCAUAGGCACUAUAUAAAGCAUUUGCUCUCAGCUGUAUCACUGGUCAUGAACCCUUCUGUUGUGUUACUGUUAUUACUGCUUUUCCUUUCAAAGAAAUACCAUUUUACCACGUGAUUUCCCAGUUCCUACCUCAGCUCCAGAAAGAGCAUUCAGCAAAGCUCUUUACCUGUGUAAAGUUUAACCCUAUUAUACAAACCUCAGUCUGAGUUUCUGGAACAUUCAGAUGGCAAUGCUGGGAAUCUACUGAAGCAGGCCAAAUCAGUCUGAAAAUGGGCCUGAGUUCACAUAGGGACAGGCAGGAUUAAUCACAGUUAAUCUGCAGGGGUCAAACUCUGAUGGAGCAAUCUUUCUUUGUUUCAUCAACAAUGCCCACUAUUAGAUGUGCAUCUACCUUGAAAUUAAGACAGUGGAACCUACGUGGAAAAGUUGGUAUUAACUCUUUAGCCAAAUUAAUAGCCUAGCACUCCAUGAAAUUGUAUAUGCUCUCAACCCAUGCUUUUUCAUGGCUGCUGAAUUUCUGAUCUCCCAUAGACAAUUUCUAUUUCUCUUCACUUUCAAAAGUAUUUCAUAUUUUUGAUGCUGAUUUUGUAUUUAGAAAUAAAAAUUGCCAGAAAAAAAUCUGAAAUGGAAAUUAAAAUGCAUAAACAACAUAUUCAUGUCCAUGAGAAAAACAAACCUAGUCUUGAAACUUGUACAUGACAGUGUACUUGACAAAAAACAUAAUUAACAGUUUUUUUUAUGAUUUUCUGUCAAAAGUCAGUCGAACUAUAUUGUAAAAAGUAUAUGAUGAAUUUCUAAGUAAUUUUUCACCAAUCAACAGAAGGUAUUGCACUAUGCUAAAAGAAUACGAAAUGUGUUGUAGACAAAAGGCUUGAGUUUGAAGGUAUUGGCAUCAUGUUUUUGCUUUCCUGUUUGAAAGCAAAGCUGAAUAUUUUUUCAUUUAGCUACUUAUAAUCUGCAAAGCCAAUUGUAGCAACAUAGACAUUCUAUAAAUUAGUCACAUUUAGAAAACAGACUGCAAAAUUUUCUAAAAAACAGUUUGACGUAAGUGAAAAGACCUACCUUACAUCAACUGCUAAGUACUAGACAUGACGGAGCUAUUUUGUAUCCUUUUCUCAAAAGUUUAACAUAAUAUGGAUAGCUCAGCAAUUAUUUUCAAAUGAAAUUCCCAUUCUCUGAAUAUUUUGCUUUACGCAUACAAUCUUACAUCAACAUUUCUGCUCUGUAGGAGCUUUCUCUUAAAGGGAGUCCUGCUUUCUGCAUAGAAAUGUAACUUUUGAGCCUCUAUUCACAAAGUAAGAGCUUAUGCACAACAUCAAAAAUUCCAAGAACCAAAGAAUGUUUAAUAGAAAAUGGCAUCUAUAAAGGACAAAAAAACCAAGAUAGUCUCUUGGUAUCUGAAACGUGACAGACCCAUGGGCAGCUUCAAAGCUGCUAUGAUGAUGCAUCUGCCAAGCAGCCAGCUGCUCCUGCUAGACAUUUUUUUGUGUGUGUGUGACUUGGCAUUUAGGUCUUGUGCUUGCCAUUCAAAAGCAACAGAAGGCGUCAUAGGAUAUAGAACGGCUGUUACCCACUCAUAUAACAUCUGUAAAAAUUCUUGGGGAGGCAGCAGGUGCUGUGAAAAGCAACGUUUCCGCUCUGAAGCGCUGAUGCAAUAAUAUAGAGGGGGGAGUCCAAAAUGAAAAAUAAUUUUGUCACAAGAGCUCCUUUGUCCUUCAUACAGUUUUAAUGAAGGAUCACAUAUUUCCUAGAUAUUUAUUUUAUGCUAUUACUUACCGUAUUAAAGUAAAUCCACAAUUUUCUAUUACAUUCUGUAAGACUAUUCCCAAAAGUUAGCCUCCUCUCUCAAGCCUUCAAGAAUUUUAUAUAAUAACAGUAAGCUUGUGUUGAUUGCUUAACCCUGUAAUUGAUUUCAGGUUUAAAAAUUAAUUCUUAUUUUCAUAUGUUCCUUGAAAGAGAAUAAAUUGCUGCUCAUCCUCUGUAAACUUAAGAGUAGUAGGAAUCAUCAUGAUGGAAACAUUCAUUGUUCAUGGUAGAGCAUGGAUAGUCAGGCUUAAAAGUCCACAGAGCAGUGAUUGUAAUGUCUCAGUUCCAUUUCAAACCAAGUUUGUUCCCAGGCAAGUAGCAAUGAGAUGAACAGAAUAACACUUACUCCUUCUUGCAACUGCUUCCAUUUGAGCAAUCACUUCAUAUUCAAUCACGGAGCUAGUUUCCACGUCUAGAGGGCAGCCUGGCAUCAGUUUCUUUGAAUCAUUCAUAUAUCAUAACAUAUCCAAGAAUAUGGCAACAUUUAAACAAGACAGAUGAUUAAAAGAUAGUGAGAACCAUUCAUUAUGGAUUAAUCAGUAGAAUAAAAAGUUUUGGGAACAUUAGUGUUCCAGAAAUAUCAAUUAUAAACCUGUGUGAAGUAUUGAAAAUUAUCACAUUUAGUGAUAUUCUUUCAGUGCAAAAAAACCCCCAACAAAACAACACAAAACAAACAAAUAAAAACCCUAUGGAAACAUAUCAUAGUUUUAGGAAAAAUAUUUCAGAUUUUCUGAAAAAACAAAAACAAGUGUUCAUAAUCACACAUAGGGAACAGCACAGUUACAAAAGCUAAUAUUUAGUCUUAAUGUGGUCUUAUUAUAUUGCAUUAAUUCAUAGUAACAGCAACCAAGGUUCUUCAGCUUGUACAAAGCUGAAAAAGGAUCUAAAGAAAAACUAAAGAAAACGUGAGAAGAAAGAUGAUGUUCAGAAAUACACUGACAUAUUCACUGACUUUGUUAUAUCACCUGCGGAUUCUAUGAAAAGAUGAAGGGAAACUCAAAAUUAGUCACAUAUGUAUCACAACGAUUAAUAUUAAAUAUUCCAGCAGUUGUGAAAAUAU
ensembl:lncRNA